rnacentral:rRNA from 1 species
GAUGAACGCUGGCGGCGUGCCUAAUACAUGCAAGUCGAGCGAACGGACGAGAAGCUUGCUUCUCUGAUGUUAGCGGCGGACGGGUGAGUAACACGUGGAUAACCUACCUAUAAGACUGGGAUAACUUCGGGAAACCGUAGCUAAUACCGGAUAAUAUUUUGAACCGCAUGGUUCAAAAGAGAAUGACGGUCUUGCUGUCACUUAUAGAUGGAUCCGCGCUGCAUUAGCUAGUUGGUAAGGUAACGGCUUACCACGGCAACGAUGCAUAGCCGACCUGAGAGGGUGAUCGGCCACACUGGAACUGAGACAGGGUCCAGACUCCUAAGGGAGGCAGCAGUAGGGAAUCUUCCGCAGUGGGCGAAAGCCUGACGGAGCAACGCCGCGUGAGUGAUGAAGGUCUUCGGAUCGUAAAACUCUGUUAUUAGGGAAGAACAUAUGUGUAAGUAACUGUGCACAUCUUGACGGUACCUAAUCAGAAAGCCACGGCUAACUACGUG